rnacentral:rRNA from 1 species
AGUGAACGCUGGCGGCAGGCCUAAUACAUGCAAGUCGAACGGCAGCACAGCAGAGCUUGCUCUGUGGGUGGCGAGUGGCGGACGGGUGAGGAAUACAUGGGAAUCUGCCCAGUCGUGGGGGAUAACGUAUGGAAACGUACGCUAAUACCGCAUGCGCCCUAAGGGGGAAAGCCGGGACCGCAAGGCCUGGCGCGAUUGGAUGAGCCCAUGUUCGAUUAGCUAGUUGGCGGGGUAAAGGCCCACCAAGGCGACGAUCGAUAGCUGGUCUGAGAGGAUGAUCAGCCACACUGGAACUGAGACACGGUCCAGACUCCUACGGGAGGCAGCAGUAGGGAAUAUUGGACAAUGGGGGCGAACCCUGAUCCAGCCAUGCCGCGUGAGUGAAGAAGGCCCUCGGGUUGUAAAGCUCUUUUGUCCGGAAAGAAAGCAAUCGGUUAAUACCCGGUUGUCCUGACGGUACCGGAAGAAUAAGCACCGGCUAACUUCGUGCCAGC